GGUCUUUUCUGAGCCUCAAGGGGGUUUUGGUUUGUUUGUUUUUAAGAAGUUUAUGCUUCAGAAAGUGAGCAUUUGGCCAAGUAACCACCUUCUGUUUCCGUGAGAAAGGGUGGCUCAGGCUGCCGGAGCCCCCUGAUUGCAGGGACAGGGCUCAGUAUCAUGCAGAAACAACCUCUUAGGUACAAGUGUCUUGCCAUUGCAGUGCCUUCAUCACCCUGGCAGUCCAAAGCCCUGAGGCUCCUGCUGGUGCUCCCCAUGCAAGAAGCAGUGCCUUUGGACAGUGUGAACACUCACCAGCAAAGGAAGCUGGAAAAUUCGGGGUAGCCUAACUCUUGCCUUUUGGGGGAAGCUGAAGCAUCACCCUUCAGUCCUGCUUCCUGCUGCAGGCACCGCCUGCCACUCACGUGAAGCACUGGUUUGGUGACAGCCAUGGAGCUGGGACUGUAGGACAUUUACCCCUUUAGGUAAGUGGGAAAAAACAGCAGCUGCAGUGUGCAUAGUCCCAGCAUUUGGUAAAUCAAACUUUGUCUUCCUUUCUAGAAAAUGGGGUGGCUUUGAUGGAGAGAAUCAGAUGUGCCUUCAGUGCAGCCCUGCUCUGGACAGCUGGUGGUUUGCAGAAGGGCAGAGGUGACAGCAGCAGAGGAGGGGACAGGCUCACAGGUCAGCACUCAGCAAGAAGAUCUGGUACAAGGCACCACCGACCAAGUCUUAAUUUUACCUGCCUUAAAACUGUUGUUAACAUCAGAAUGGCUUUUUUUGCCAACAGUUUAAAUGAUGACUGGGCACAGACCUUAAUCCUGCAACCUGGAAUAGGCAAAAUCCCACAUAAGGAAGGGGUGAGUAAGAUUUUUCUGACCAGA
rnacentral:lncRNA from 1 species